AAAAGCUCCAAUACCCAAGCAGAGGACACACGAGGGGACACAGGGAGCGUACCUCGCAAGACUUAGGCAGCUUGGCCCAACGACCAUGAGGCUGGCCCCUGCCAUCAGGCUGCUGCAAGCGCCCCUGCGGGGCUGGGUGGUCCCCAGGGCGUACAUCUCCGCCAAACCGGCCAAAACACCCACCUCUGCCUCAGAGCAGGCCUCGGCGCUGUGUGUGACGUUCUUCAGCUUCCUGAUCCCUGCAGGCUGGGUGCUGUCCCACCUGGAGAGCUACAAGAAGUCUGCUGCGUGAAGGCUGUGCUGCCACUGCCGCAGGAGGGCGCGGAGGGGUGGCAUUAAAGCCCUCCCCCCA